rnacentral:tRNA from 1 species
UUAAUUGAAACCAAAAAGAGGUAUAUUAUUGUUAAUAAUAAAAUUGAAAACUAUUUUCCAAUUAAA